CUUUGAUAUAUAAAAAUGAUAGAAUCUGAAGCGAGAUGCUAUAUCAAAUACUCUUGCUUUUUACGUUUUAAAGACAAAAUAUACACCUCAUACAUGCCCCAACAUAAAAAGGUGCACUCGAUUUUCUCUUUUCGAUACAAUCGUUACCUAUUUUUGGGAAUAUUUUCUUGAUUCACAUAAUGGAAGGGCAGACACGAAAAUUUCUGAACUAAAAGAUUUAUAUGUUCUCCGUCCC
rnacentral:lncRNA from 1 species